AUGGCUGAUCAAGAAGAAUGUGACACUGAAGCUGUGGAGUUGCAGCAACAAUUAAGUCCUGAUUAUGAAAUUCUGGACACAAGCCCUCAAGAGCCAAGCACAUGUCAAGCUGCUAAAGAAGAGAGCUUGAGGAAAAGCCAAAGAGUUAGGAAACUCACUGAAAAAGGCCAAGCACUGUAUGAAGAGAAAGUGAAUAAGCUUCAAACACGCUUUAAGGCAAGCUAUGAUGAAUGGAAAGCUGCUGCAAAACAAGUUAAAAGAGCACUUGAAGCACCUGUCAGUAUGAGAUUAUAUGAUCACAUUGUCCAGAUCCAACAUACCUCAGCAGAAGUAAAACAAGCCUAUGACAAGCUACGCAGUCAUGAAACUCCAGAUGGAGACACUCGUCGCAGAGUGGACACAUGUGAUGCUGUUUCUCAGAAGCUCAUACAACAAGCUCAAGAAUGUCUUGCAGAAGAAGGAAAUGUAAAAGAUCCAGCAAAGAGAUCAACUCGCUGGAGUGAAGCCGGUUCAGUAUUCAUCUCAGCAGCGUCCCAAAAAUCCAAAAGCUCAAGAAGUACAUGUUCAAGUUCAAGCAGGUUGUCUAUAAAGAAACAAGAAGCAGCAGCGGAACUAGCUGCAACUGAAGCCACUCUGAAAGUUAUGGAGGAAAUGGAUCGCGAAAGAAAUGAGCUUGAAAACCUUGAAGUAGAAAACCGACAAAGAUUAGCAAAACAAGAAGCAGCAAAUGCUGAAAAACUAAAAGCAUUAGAACAGAAGCGAAGAGAGCUAGAACGUCUUGAAACUAUAAAGAAAAUGAAUGCUGCCAAAGCACGACUGAAAGUGUAUGAGCCAGAAGUUAACUCAGACGAAGAAAUCUCAGACCUCCUACACGACAAUGAUAAAGAUAGAAAAGCUGCUCCUAAACCAGUAAGUCUGCCUGAACGUCAGCUCGCACCAUCACAACCCACUGCAAAUCUGCAACAGUUUUCUGCUCCACAACAGACCACAAGGUGGCAUCUUACAACUAAUGCUACACAAGAAGAUAGCACCACAGCACUAGCUAAAGCGUUAGCAGAGUCCAUUAACAUAAGCCGUCUACCAGUACCAGAGCCAGCUGUUUUCAAUGGCGACCCUCUCAAGUACAAAGAUUGGAAAAUGUCAUUUCAGACACUAAUAGACAGGAAAAACAUUCCAGUGAAUGAAAAGAUUUACUAUCUCCGCAAGUAUGUUGGUGGACCAGCCAGAAGAGCUGUCGAGAGUUACUUCCUGCUUGGUACAGAUGCAGCGUACUAUGCAGCAUGGGACACUCUGGAGGAGAGAUAUGGAAGUUCAUUUGUAAUUGCCAAAGCCUUCAGAGAUAAGCUAACAACAUGGCCAAAGAUUGGAACAAAGGACAGUGCUGAGUUACAAGAGUUCUCAGACUUUCUCAGAGGCUGUGAAGCUGCCAUGCUACAAAUCAAGAAUCUUGAAGUUCUAAAUGAUUGCAGCGAAAAUCAGAAAAUGUUAAGCAAGCUUCCUGAUUGGCUAACAGCUAGAUGGAAUAGGAAAGUCAUUGAGGUUGAAGAGCAGCAAGGUUCUUUUCCAACAUUCAGUAACUUUGUCGACUUCAUCACAAGAGAAGCCAAGAUAGCGUGCAACCCAGUAACGUCACUCCAUGCUCUCAAGGGAAGUGACUCGGAGAGGGUUAAGCCUACAAAGACUCGAAGUGUUGGAGCUAAGGUACUGGCAAGCAGUGCAGAAGAGAAAUCAAAUACGAAGAAAUGUGUCUUCUGUGAAAGAUUAUACCAUAGCAUUCACACAUGUCGAAAAUUCAUAGACAAGCCAAUAAUGGAACGAGUCAAGUUCGUACAAAUGAAAGGACUAUGUUUCGGAUGCCUCAACUCUGGACAUCAUUCAAAGAAAUGUGGAAAGAGAAGUGUUUGUGACACAUGCAAAGGAAAACACCCAACCUGUUUACAUGAAGAACGGGACAAGGAAAUCAGAAAGAACAAAGAAAGCGAGAAGGAACAAAAGGAAAGCAAAAGCACAAAUGACACAAAAGAAAUCAAACAAAAUAAAGAAGCACCAAACGAGGCAACAUCGCACCGUGUAGUCCAAAACAACAGCAGUAACCUCACAUCCACAAUUAGUCCAGUUUGGUUAUCCACAACAAGCGAACCAGAACACGAAAUCCUGCUGUAUGCCCUUUUAGACAGUCAGAGCGACACAACAUUCAUUCUACAAGAAAAGGCAGAUGCUCUGGAUUCUGAAAAGAAACAUGUACAGUUAAAGCUUUCUACACUGUCAGCCAGAGAUACAGUCAUUUCAAGUGAAAAGCUGUCAGGGCUGCAAGUCAGAGGCUUUUAUUCCUCAAAGAGAAUCCCUCUUCCUGUAACAUAUACAAGAGAGUUUAUUCCUGCCAAUCUAAAUCACAUCUCAACUCCUAAGACGGCAAGAGCAUGGCCCCACCUAGAGCACCUUGCAGAAGAGAUCGCCCCUCUCAUAGAAUGCGAUGUUGGUCUGCUCAUAGGUUACAACUGUUCACAAGCACUGUUACCCAGAGAAGUUGUGUCAGGAAAAGACAAUGAGCCAUUCGCACAAAGAACAGACUUGGGCUGGACAAUAGUUGGUGGUGCUGACCCUUGUGUUGACUAUGGUGAUUCUAUUGGAAGCAGCCAUAGGAUCAUUGUCAAAGAAGUGACACCUAGCCAGUCAUCAGAUCAGUUACCAAAUGAAGUCCAUUACAUUUGUCGCACACAAGUCAAAGAAGUAGUCACACCACCAGAUGUGAUUAAAAUCCUUGAGUCUGACUUCAACGAUAGAAAGGUGGAAGAUUCUCACUUCUCUCAAGAGGAUCUGCGCUUCAUUUCUAUAAUGGAGGAAGGAGUUAAAAUGAGAGCAGAUGGAUUUUGUGAGCUACCUUUGCCAUUUAAAGAGGACAGACCAAGUCUGGCAAACAAUAAGAGCUGUGCAGAACACCGACUCAAAUGUCUAAAGAAAAGACUUGAAAGGGACAAACAAUAUCACAAAGACUACACAAAAUUCAUGAACGAAACAAUUGAACGUGGAGAGGCAGAGAGGGUUCCACCUGAAGAAUUGAACAAAAGCCUUGCCUGGUACAUUCCACACCAUGGGGUGUACCAUCCCCAAAAACCUGGGAAAAUAAGAGUAGUGUUUGAUUGUUCAGCGAAAUAUGAAGGCAUGUCAUUAAACGAUCACCUGCUCACAGGACCAGAUCUAACAAACACCCUGAUAGGUGUCUUGUGCCGCUUUCGCAAGGGUCCAGUGGCAGUGAUGUGCGACAUAGAACGUAUGUUUUAUCAGUUCAGAGUCAGAGCCGAAGAUCAAGACUACUUCCGUUUCCUGUGGUGGGACAACGGAGACUUUCACUUAAGUCCAUCAGUCUACCGAAUGCGAGUCCAUUUGUUCGGAGCCGCCUCUUCACCAGCCUGUGCAAACUUUGGCCUCAAGUACAUUGCGGCGCAAGGUCAAGGCCAGUUCAGUGAAGCAACUAUAAGAUUCAUUGAAAGAAACUUUUAUGUGGAUGAUGGUCUCAUCAGUUUCCACUCAGAAGAAGAGGCUAUUAGUCUAGUCCAUGAGGCGAAAAAACUCUGCAGUACUGGAAAAUUGAGACUGCACAAGUUUGUUUCCAAUAGCCCACAAGUUCUUGACUCUCUCCCUAAGGAAGAUUGUGUAGAGACGGUAAGAAACCAAGAUCUAGCCCUGGGCGAGCAACCGAUCGAAAGAGCCCUAGGUGUUAAAUGGGGGGUUGCCUCAGACCAAUUCCAGUUUCGAGUAGUUGUGAAUGAGCGUCCACUCUCCAGACGAGGAGACUUGUCAACUGUGGCCUCCAUCUACGACCCACUUGGAUUUGUGGCACCUUUCGUUCUACUUGGCAAGCAAAUACUGCAACAAAUGUGUCGUGACAAGACCGACUGGGACGAACCACUUUCAGAUGAGCUCAAGCCACGAUGGGAGUCCUGGCUUCUAGAUCUCAAGAACCUUGCUAAUGUCAAGAUUGAUCGCUGCUACCUUCCAGCCGAUUUUGAAGAAGUUCAGAGAUAUGAACUCCACUAUUUUUCAGAUGCAAGUGUUGCAGGAUAUGGUGUCUGUACAUAUCUAAGAGCAAUCAGUAGAUCAGGACAAAUCCACUGCUCACUUGUCAUUGCCAAGUCCAGAGUAGCACCCACCAAGGUAACCACUGUGCCAAGACUGGAGUUGUCUGCAGCAGUAGUAGCAGUGCGCAUAAGUGACCUGCUCAAAGGAGAACUAGAGUUGGAAAAUGUUCAAGAAUUCUUCUGGACGGAUUCACAAGUUAUCUUAGGAUAUAUAAGCAAUGAAGCAAGGCGUUUUCAUGUCUUCGUAGCGAACCGUAUCCAGCGCAUCAAGGAAAGUACUAAACCAACACAAUGGAAGUAUGUCGCAUCAGAAGACAACCCCGCUGACCAUGCGUCUCGAGGACUCAAAUCUAAAGAGCUCAUUGCUUCCAACUGGUUUUGUGGUCCAAGUUUUCUCUGGCAAGAUCAACUUCCCAGUGGAGAGAUAAAGGUGGGAGAACUUGAUACAGAGGACCCAGAAAUACGCAAAGUUCUUGUACAUCAGACCUUAACAACAGUGAAUUCGCUGGCAGAACGCUUCCUGAAAUUCUCCAGCUGGACAAGACUAACUAAAGCUAUUGCAAGACUUACCAGAUUUGUAAAGGAGUUUAAAGGCUCAAUAAAGAGAACCAAUAAAGCUACAAGUCUCGAAGAAAGGCAAGAAGCUGAGCUUACAAUCAUUGCCAUAGUACAAGGAUUAGUCUUCUCCAAAGAAGUCAAAGAACUUCAGUCCCAAAAGGAGUUAACCACUAAAGACAAAGCAAGCAGAUUGUAUCGUCUCAAUCCCUUCCUGGACCACAAGGGCAUCCUCAGAGUGGGAGGUAGAUUAGGACAUGCAUCUCUACAUCCACACAUCAAACAUCCGGUUAUCUUACCAAAGACCAGCCACAUCACCAAGUUACUGAUUGAUCAUUAUCAUCAGCAAGUGAGACAUCAAGGGCGUGGCAUGACCAUAAACGAACUGAGAUCUAAUGGCCUAUGGAUUCUCGGCUGUAGUCAAGCAGUAUCAUCGUUUAUUUACAACUGUGUCAAAUGCAGGAAAUUCAGACGUCGAACAGAAGAACAAAAGAUGGCAAACCUGCCUAGCGAAAGAAUGGAGACAACUUCUCCCUUUACAUAUUGUGGGAUGGAUUGUUUCGGUCCGUUCUAUAUUAAAGAGGGAAGGAAAGAACUAAAACGCUAUGGACUGCUUUUCACAUGUUUGUGCUCUCGUGCAGUACAUAUAGAGUUGCUUGAUGAUUUAUCAACUGAUGCAUUUCUCAACUCACUUCGUGCUUUCAUUGCUCUACGUGGAAAUGUCCGUCAACUGCAAUCAGACCAAGGCACCAAUUUUGUUGGAGCAAGACGGGAGUUCUUGGAAGCAGUAAAAGAAAUGGACCAAGAAUGCCUAAAACAACUAGGCUGCGAGUUUGUCAUGAACCCACCCUCUGCCAGUCAUAUGGGUGGAGUCUGGGAAAGACAAAUCCGAACAAUCAGAGGUGUGUUAACAUCCAUCCUGGAUCAGUCAUCCCGAACCCUUGAUAGUUCAUCCUUAAGAACCUACCUAUAUGAAGUGAUGGCAAUCGUAAAUAGCAGACCUAUAACAGCACACCUACUCAAUGAUCCUACUGGACCUCAGCCACUUACACCCAAUCUUCUCUUGACAAUGAAAUCGUCAAUAAUACUGCCUCCACCAGGAGAUUUUGUAAAGGAAGACCUUUACCUUCGUAAAAGAUGGCGUAGAGUGCAGUACUUGGCAAACGAAUUUUGGCAAAGGUGGAAGAAAGAAUAUCUGUUGAGCCUACAACAAAGACAAAAGUGGCACAAGACAAACAGAAAUGCAAAAGUCAAUGACAUAGUGAUCAUACAAGAUGAUACAACACCCAGAAAUGAUUGGAAGCUGGCUAAAGUUACUGCCGUGUACCCAAGUCAAGAUGGAUGCGUACGAAAAGUGCAGCUGCUAAUCAGCGACUCAACAUUAGAUGACCAUGGGAAGAGACUGAGUAAACCAGUUCAUCUAAUAAGACCAAUUCACAAGACUGUCACAUUACUGGAAGCAGAUUAG
rnacentral:lncRNA from 1 species